UACGGAGGGUGCAAGCGUUAUCCGGAUUCACUGGGUUUAAAGGGUGUGUAGGCGGAUAUUUAAGUCAGUGGUGAAAUCUCCGGGCUCAACCCGGAAACUGCCAUUGAUACUAUUUAUCUUGAAUACUGUUGAGGUAGGCGGAAUAUAUCAUGUAGCGGUGAAAUGCUUAGAUAUGAUAUAGAACACCGAUUGCGAAGGCAGCUUACUAAGCAGUUAUUGACGCUGAGGCACGAAAGCGUGGGGAUCAAACAGGAUUAGAUACCCUGGUAGUCCACGCCCUAAACGAUGAUUACUCGACAUACGCGAUACACAGUGUGUGUCUGAGCGAAAGCAUUAAGUAAUCCACCUGGGAAGUACGUCCGCAAGGAUGAA
rnacentral:rRNA from 1 species